rnacentral:sRNA from 1 species
UCGUGGAUGGGGACGGUAUUUUGCGAUGAUCUUGCGAUGAAACAAACGAUGUUUGUUAAAUGUUCUAUGUUCACUCAACUUUUACCCCUGAAACCUUAUUUUGUAGAUUGUUUUAUCUACCACACACGACAAACGUAGACAUAUGUUUUACAUCGUGUAUAUACACAGUACAUUGUGCGUACAAUGCUACCAACUGGUCAAAAAUUUAACAAAAAAUAUGUACACACACACACACACAAGUAAAUAAAUACAUAUAUAUAUAUAACACUCUCAUCAACCACAAAAGUCAAUCAAUCAAUCAACAUCCGGCACUGGCAACCCAUCUAACAACCGAACCCGCAUCCCCAACUUCUCCAUCGCCUCCCUGGAAUUCCGCUCGCGCAACUCCUUCGCCUCUUCCUCCGACACCAAGACAAACUCAUGCUGAAGCACAAGCGUACCCAGCGGCACGUCGUAUUUCUUCGCCAUCUCGGGAUCCGUGAGCGGCUGCAGGUCGACGAUCAGGGAUGAUUUCACGCCGA